GGCCCGUUGGUCAAGAGGUUAAGACACAAGCCUUUCACGCUUGUAACGGGGGUUCGAUUCCCCCACGGGUCACCA
rnacentral:tRNA from 1 species